rnacentral:lncRNA from 1 species
GAAUAUUUUGUUGGUUAUCCUUGACAUCAUCCAAUGAUACGCAGCGGAAUAUACAUUCAAGGAUUAGAUCUAGAUUUACAAUUGAUUCAUGUGUAGAGAUUACAAACGUACACAACAAUAAAAUUAACUUACUCGUUGUGUAGUAAACGUGUGUCUCGAUUCCCGCGAAUUGAAUCCAUCACUAGAGGUAUCCACGUGCAUGUCGAUUCGAUGCAGGAACAAUUCCCAAUGCAUGUUUCAAUCUUCGACAGCUAGGAAAUCUCCGAUUGAAACCAUAGUACUCUCUAGGUGUUUUCUCUUCUAAUGUUUUCG